UUCUACGAGAUGCAAACAUGAUUGUGCUUGUCGCCCAGGACCAGGAUGUCGACGUAUGGUGUGCACCAGGAGGCGAACUCGUGCGGCUCAAGGACAGAUUGUUGUGAUGAUCUAUCUGGGUUGUCUAGAAAAAUCCCAAUUUUGAGUGAAGAGUGGAUCCUGUUUGCUGCAAUCUUCAAUACUAGUGUCGAUGUUGCCUAACCAUUGUUCGAGGCUGAAGAAGCAAAUAGAUGAUCUGGAUGAGAAGAUGGUGGUGACUGACUCUUCUCCCGAGUCUUUGGCGUCCAAGUAGAUCCAGGAUGGUGAGGACGGCGAAAAGAAAAGAUUUUUGCUGGAGAUGGUGCACCCACACCCAUCGGGCUAUUCUUCCGGAGGGCAAAGCGGGCAAGAAGAGGGGUCAAUGGAGCUUGGAGCUCUAUGGGAAGUCUGGUGGUUUUGCUUUAUAUUUUGAUUUUUACAUGUGAAUGGGACGUUGUUUGCCUCGUUUUGCCGGGUGCUCAUGUUGUAUCCAACAUAUGUCUUUUUGAAAAGCAAUGUCAUGCUUCUCUAUGGGAGACGAGAGGUGCAUUU